rnacentral:lncRNA from 1 species
GUGAUCCGGAUUGGGUAUUGGGUAGGCUAUUCCGAAUCCAGACAUGAAACGGGAUCCGACCGUCGCACCUUUUUUUCAAAGUCGGGAGGGUAUUUUUGUAAUUUUAUUAAGUCGGGAGGGUAUUUUUAUAAUUUCUUUAAAAAUUGGGGUACCUUUAUUUUCAAAGUCGGGAGGGUAUUUUUGUAAUUUUAUUAAGUCGGGAGGGUAUUUUUAUAAUUUCUUUAAAAAUUGGGGCAACUGUGACGUACAAUUGCUUCUUGUCCUAUCCCCCACAAGUGCUUCUUGUCCCACAUGCUCCUGCUUGGGCCAGGUGCCCCACUUGUCAUUCACGGCCCACAAGAACACGAG